UACAUCUCCCAUUGAAUUUCUCCCGUGUAUCCACUAUAAAUUGGCGUAAUCAUUGUAACUCCAUGGUCUAGCAAUUCAGCUCAUAGCAAAACAUUGCGAAAGCAAUAACCUUGGAUUCUUUUACACGAAGGAAACGGUAUUGUUGCUAGCUCUGAUUUUACUUUCGCUAGCAAGUAACUUUGAAGGCAGAUAUGGAUUUAAACAUGGAAGUUCUUGAUUUUACAACUGUCUUGUUGGUGAGUACUAUAUAUUAUUGCAAUCUGUGGUGGUUUUGGUGGCUAGGUAGGAUGUGUAAAUUGUGGUUAAUGAAGGUUAUUUAGAUAGCACAAACUUGUUUUUUAGAUCCUACGUCUAUCAAACUACAAGAAGAUGACAUUGAUGAUGAUACUGUUCACAUCGAUGUUAAAAAUCUAGUUUGUUAUAAAAUUGAACAUCUGAAGAAGUGGUUAAUUUAUAGAGUUGAUACCCUGAAAGGAACAGACACUUUGAAAGAGACACAAGUUAGGUAUGUCCAUGUUAAUAAACAACGAUUUGAGUGACUAUUCUAUUUUAGAUGUUGGUGUUAGCAAAGUCCCUUAAAAUUAAAAAACCAUUUACUCAGGGUGAACAAUUUCUGGAAGAACAUUUUAUUGAUGUUGGUUCAAUACAUGCAAAGGAAAAUGAUAAUAUAUUUAGUUUGAAAGGUGUGUGUGGCGCAAGCUUGAGAAAGCAGAUAGAUGGAUUUUUGUUUUAAUUGAUAAAUCAUCAAAUGAAAUCAUGUAUUGUUUUUGCCAAUUUUCAGCUGGGAAGGUGGGAACUUGUUUUCACGCUUACGCUUAGAUGAAGUUAUUGGCUAAAUGGGUCUUGGAUAACUUAAAAAAUUAUUCCAGAACUCAAAGCAUGUACAUCAAAGGCCUGUGAGUGGUCAGUUCCUCAGUGCAAAAAUCGUGUUGAUAAAGUCUCAAUAUCGGAUAUAACCGUUACUUCCCCAGUUUUGAAACGAAGAAAUACAAAUGACGAUACAAAAUACAAGAAGUGCAGUGGAAUUAAAACUACAUUGUAUGAUGCUAGAGCCGACGGUACCAAAUAUGAGCCAGCUUAUGAUUUAGAAGUUUUUUUGAAUAGCGACACUAAGAAUCAUGCUGAGAAAAUCAUAAAUCCUGAUCCGCUGCUUUUUACAGAUACAGUGUAUGGAGUAAUGCCAGUUGGUUCUAUUUUAUCGUAUCAUAGUUCCCCAAUGCCAGCUGAUAUCGCUGUAUAUUCUAGCAUUUCUACAGUCACAGCAAACCUAACUGAGAACCUAAACAUAACACUUAUCAAAGUUUUUCUUUUAAUCCAAUUAAAUGCCUGCUUGAUGAAUACUUGAGAAGUGAAAUAUGUGAGGAAAAAUUGGCCAUAUUGAAUCAAUUAAGGUCACAUUCUGCGCAUGCUGUAGAAAUCCAAGUUAAUACGCGUGACCGAGCAAGAGAUGCGAAUUGGUUUAUGUACCGCAUAAACAGAAUUAACAGCAUCUAUUUGAAAAAAAAAUUGUGAUCUAACUAAAAAAUACUGAGAAGGGGAUCAAAACUAUAGCUCUAACUAUAGCUAAUUGUAUUUGGUGACAAAAAUGGGAAAAACAAAGCUGUGUAAAUGAAAAUGAGCUACGGCAUAUUUUUUGAACCCAUCGCUAUCCAAGCACAUGAAAAAUUCAUGCGUCUAUCUGGUUGGAAAAUUUCUGUUGAUUAAUGUGGAUUGGUUAUUGAUUCGCAAAAUUUUGUUUUGGGUGCAACUCCUGAUGGGAAAGUUUUUGACGGCGUUUCUUUUGGAAUACUAGAGGUUAAAUGUAGUGAGCACUAUAAAGAUAUCAAUCCGAAGGAUGUUUGCUCUAUUUCGAAAAAACCAUGUAUCUCAUACAACAGUGAAUCAGAGACUCUACAUAUCAAUGAAAAUCAUACAUAUUAUAAUGAAGUUCAAAUGCAGCUAGCUCUUGCAUGUCAAACAUGGUGUGACUAUAUUUUAUAUACUUCAGACAGGAAUGGUAAUGGAUAGAGUUCAAUUUGAUGCAAUGUAUUGGGAAAAGUUACAAUCAUCUAUUGUGUCAUUUUAUUUUAAGUACGCACUACCAGAAAUUGCAUCAAAAGAGAAGAAGUAAAGAACAGAAUUUUUGUGUAUAUAAAUUUAAUUUACAUCUUUUAAAAUACGGUUUUGAAAGUUUGAUCCCAAUGCUGCUACAGUUAUGAUUCAAUUUAAAAAACCAGCCAUGUUAAGUGACAUUACAUGGUCGAAUAUGUGAUAACAUUUUAAGAACUGUAUUAAAACGCACUUUUAACAACAAUGUUUUUGUCCGAAAUGCUACCCGGGUAUGCAUAGAAGAUGAAUAUAAUGCGGUGCUAUCCCAACUAAGACUUUAACUGUCGUGUGACUUUUAUAAUUAGAAAAUAACAUUUUAUGCAGCCAUAGUGAUGUUGGAACAACUACUAUGAUUUCUAAACAAUCGAUAAUCCACUGUCUGUUGGUAAAGUGUUGCUUCAUAGAUUCAGGCUUAUUUCUUGAACCUGUUAUUGGCCAUAUACAUAUGCUACAAAGUCUGAUAUACAUAAAGUUUAUCCAUGUACUGAGUGCAUUGCUUAUCGUACCUUCUGAUGCAUCGAAUAUAUAUGUGUCAACAUAAAACUUUCCAAUGGUGAAAAACACCUUCUACAACCACGUGCAUCGUUUUACCUUCUAUAUAGUUGUACAAAACAAUCUUUUGACCAGUUUCACCAGCAUCAAGAAAAAUGAGAACAUUUUGAAAUAUUAUAAACCUGUAUAAUAAUUACAUAAUUCAUCUGAUUUCAAUGUAUGCUCCAUAAAUUCACUUUUUACAGAAAAGCUUUGGUUUCGAAGUUGAAGAUCUCUUAUAAAACAUUUCUGAUCAUUAUUUUUAUGUGUUUCAAGGUAUUUCAUUCUAUCUGAUUGUUCACUAAUUAACUCAUUGUAUCUUCGACUUUAUACUGUGUCAAAAAAAAAAUUCAUCUUCUAUUUGUUGCAGUUCUACUUUAAUAAUAUCCAAUUCAGAGGGCUCGUUUCUACUGUCAUCUGAAGUUUUAGGUUCUUGAAACUUUUUUUUUCCCAUCAUUCCCAGCAUGAAUUUUUGGCUUGGCAUCUGGUAGCAAUCGUUUUUUCGUACCUCCUGGAGGCUUAUAAAUCAUUUGUUCUUCAAAGUGUUUUUCGCAUACUACAGUGUUCUUUGUGACCUUGAGACCAUCCCUGCCAUCUUGACGUUUUAUCAAGCUGCACCAGACUUGUUUUCGGCUUGGCUCACUAGGAAAUGGGAAAAAGGUAGUGUCGGAACGCAUUUUCUCCUCAUUUUCGAAGUAAUAGUCACAGCAGAGCAGCCAUAAGCUGCACAUUCACGUCGAAGUGAUGAGGAUGACCCACGACUCCUCUUACGCUCGGCCAUAUUGAAAUAACUUUAGCAUAGGUUGCCUCGUUUUCAUGCUGUAGAAGAUUACGUCAUUUUAUUAAUGAAAAGGAGCAUUGAGAAUUUAUUCUUCCGACAAAUAACACAUAUACAUUUUAAACAGGUCGUAAAGGAGUAUUGUUAACAUUUAAAUUUAGUUAAAAAAAACGAUUUUACCCGUGAUAUAUAUAUGGUGAUAUCUAUCGACGAAAGUGAAAACUUGGGUUGACCGGGAUUUGAACUGAGCUAUCGGUCAGGUAGGAGUUUACAAUUGGCUUCUCCCUCACUACAGAUUCGAGUCCAGUUAGUAGUUCAAGCCCACCAGCACAAGCCUGCACUUCCGCCAAUACUGGCCACCUAUAAAGGCGCGUGUUUCCGUAACAUUACCUUCAUCAGCCCAUAUAUAUAAUUAUUGUUUAUUUAGAUAGAGUUAUUAUAACCACAAGAGAAAUAAUAGAGAAAAAAGCUAUAAUGGAACAUACAACGGUGAAGAAGUCAAAGAUAUUAAAACAAUUCAAGACAGACAAUAAGAAGGAUUUAACACCAAAGUGUAUAUUCCACUCAAAAAUUGAUUGCGUUUGUCAGCAAGAAGAAAGUCACAGUUUAUCGAAAUCCAAAAAAUGUCAAAAGUGUCACCGUAAGUUUGAGAAAAAGUCAGAGUUUCUAGAACAUGAUAAAAAUGCCCAUAAACGCAUCAAGUUCAUAUGGCAGAACGAAUGCGAAGAAUUGAGGUCCCAUUACCAGAUCAAAAAGUGAGUCAGAAAAUAGUCAAGAAAUAUUUAGAAUCCUUAAAAAAUGUUUUGGCGACGGAGAUUUUAAAAAGACAUUUGCUCCCUCUGGUAGUUACUCAACAGAUACAAAGAUACGAAAAGCAGAUGAAUUUGACUAUGACGUACCAUCGAAGUAUUCAUCGGAAGAAAUAAGUAUCAAUAAAGAAGGUAAGAUAUUCUACCAUUAUAAUCAGAGUCAAAGGUAUUUACAAUUUGUAAGCUGAAAUGAAAUAUAAGAGGUAGUUAUUAAGGUCUCGCCUGAUUUUUUAGUCUACAAAUCACCAUUAACUUUUGUCCGCAAGUACGAAAUUUAGUCGAACAGCCUUAAAAAAAAUUUCUUUCCAGCUUUUUGCAUAUUCAUAGAGAGGAACAAUUGUAAAUAAAAAAAAUGUUUUUUUGCGAAUGUUUUAUUUUUCAGACACCAAGCGUAAACGUUCGCGUUAGCGUAAUCAAAUCUAACGAGUAUAAGUCGAUACCUUGCUUUUAUGAAGACGUAUUGGUUGAACGUGACGAAAAAAAAAAGAAACUAUCUACCCAAGAAAAAUCCAGGAGCAAUUAUACGAGAAUAUGCAGUGUGCAGUUGAAAAAAUAGAAAAUGUUGAUGUAAACCGCAUGGUCCAGCUGUUACAGUUACCAUUAAAGAGCAAGAAAAACAUCAUAUUAAUGUCGACAUAUUUCCAUCUAUGAAAACCAAACAAAUCAAUUUGGCACUCUAUAAAUGACCACGCCUGCAGACAAGAAAAGCCUUGCCAGAAAAGGUUACAGUCAGGAUAUAGAAGAGGUUGGGCUGCAUCUUGUACCAAAGAAGGAAAGGUUUUGGCACAUUUCUGUAUCAAAUGCAGGAAAAACGCUUAUGCAAAGCCUUAAUAAAGCAGAUAAUGGAUGUCGCAGAUGGUGCCAUAAAUUACUUAAGGACAAUUUUAAAAAAUGGUUAGGAAAAACAGGACACAAGUUACCUGGGAUGUCGACAAUGAUUUUUAAGCGACAUUUGUUUUGGUUCAACGAAAAUAACCCACAUUUGAAUUAGGACCAAGAAAACCUUUGUGAAUGCUACUUGGAAAUGUUAGCAGAUUUGAGUGAUCGGUUACGAAAGAAGAAGAUUUUUUAACUAUUUUCGAGAUUUGAAAACCUGUUAAAAGAUAAAGAUCAACAAGAAUUGAACCAGGUGGCCAAUCUUGCAGAUAAAACACGUCUAAAACUAUUGGCAAUGAAUUGACAACAUAGAAACAUUUUGAGAGAGACAAAAACUUUUAUUUGUUGGGAAAUAAUUAAUGGCAAUAAUAACAAUAGCAACCCUUUAAAGAAUAUUUGUUACUUCAAAUGCCUAAAUUUUUAUCAGGAAAAACCUAAGUAACUUGUAACAAUAUGUUUCCGUAGCCUUCUGCCAAGCAGUAUAUUCGCGUAGGAUCAUUUAUACGCCUGAUUGUACAUUGUACAUCAAGGAUAACGCACAGAUUUCCACCCAAAGUUUCGGUUACUUUUAUCAACAGGUCGUCUGUACAUCCAUUUCAUCGUCGUAGCUACAUAGCUAUGUAUUACUGUUAAGCACACUCGUCAUGUUAACGUAAAAUUUCUGUCUUUUUACUGAAGCCCUUUUUUGUUAAUUAUAAAUAACCAAAAAAUUUGAUUUUGUAGAUUUAGUGUAGAAUUCAAGUUAUUAAUUUAGCAAUAUAUAUAAUUGUAUCAUUUUGACGAAUUGUUAACCUCGUGUUCCGUUUGAUUUGUAAAAGCGCAACGAUUUAGUGGCAUUACAUAACCCAACUUUCAAAUUUUUUUCAUUUCUAACUUCUAGCUAUUCACUGAUAAGUCUAUAAAAGGUGUUUGUGCGGUUUAUUUUGGUAUUAAUGUCCUCGAGAGCUGUUG